CUGCGGGGGAACAGGAAGUGCCCAGAGGGAACAGGAAGUGCUGAGAGCAGGAAGUGCCUUGUGGGAAAAGAAGCGCAAGAAACAGGAGAUAACAGAAGCACGCCUUUCACGGACCAUCAAGGCAGAAGGUUGUCUUCAGCUGGUAAAAAGAUGGAAAUUCAAAUCUCCUGAAUCUUAACCAAACACACCAGGAAGACGCUUCUAAAAGGCUGGCAGAAGACAAUACUCACAAGGCUUCCUUGUCUAUGAGCCCAAGGCAGGAUGGUGGUGAAGGGGUAUUAAAAUUUCCUCCUGUGGAGGAGGAAAUGGAGGAGGAAAUAUGAAUAUGGAAGAAUAAGAGGAAGAAUUUCAGACACCCUAGCUAAUCUUUGACAGCUUGGAGAGAAUGGAAACCUCAAAUAGAAGAUAGUAACCCACCAGACUGAGCGACUGAACUGAGCUGUACUGAACUGAAUUUCACCUUAGCCUGGGAUAGCACUAACCAAGACUAGAAGACACUGCAGUCAGCCUAGCACAGGGGCAGCUUGUGAAACGAUCUCAGAAGAGUAACACAAAUACUUCAGUGGAUGAGAAUCGUCCCCUCAGAGUCUGUUUGGCCUCACGGCUCUACUCAUCCCAGCCUUCUCAACUGUCAGACUCUCAGAGCCCAGUGGAGUGGGUACAAGAGCACAGCCAUCACCUUUGACAGAUGCGUGAGCUUCUGGGACACAAAGAAAUUGUUUGAGAUGCUCAAGGAAAAGAAAAGAAACAGGAAUACUGGUUCUUACCCUGGACCAGCCACUGAGUAACCACGUGGCUUUACAGAUGUCCCUGAACCUCAGUCACUCUUUCCACGCCCGUGAAGAGGAAUAAGAGCAUCCUUGGCAAAGUCCAUGAACAAGUCCCAGUAGAAUCUGGAUAAUAAAUUUUUAAUCUUUUUUCCUCCCCUCUGUACCUAAGUCUAGUGUCAGUUGCUCUUAAGGUAGAGGCCUGGCACCUGGCCCGUCAAACCAGGGCUCCUGGUUUCAAAAGUCUGCCCCCAAUGCCUCAAUAUGGUGGGCUGUGUACAGAAGCACAGCCCACGACACCUCAACCCAAGAUGGCAGCUGAGGGCCGUGUGCAGAGAUGCUGUGUCUGACACUGUGAUGAGCUGGGAGCAGAUCACCUGAACCUGAUGUCCGAGAACCUCACUCCCUCCCCACUGACCAGAAGCCUAUAAACAGCCCUGUCCACAACCAGCAGGGAGAGCACGUUCUCUAGAAUAUAAGCACCCCCUCUCCAUUUCUAAUCAAAAAACAAAGAUUUUCUUUGCUUCUGAA